UACGUAGGGAGCAAGCGUUGUCCGGAAUCAUUGGGCGUAAAGCGCGCGUAGGCGGCCCCGUAAGUCCGCUGUGAAAGUCAAAGGCUCAACCUUUGAAAGCCGGUGGAUACUGUGGGGCUAGAGUCCGGAAGAGGCGAGUGGAAUUCCUGGUGUAGCGGUGAAAUGCGUGGAUAUCGGGAGGAACACCUGUGGCGAAAGCGGCUCACUGGACCACAACUGACGCUGAGGCGCGAAAGCUAGGGGAGCAAACAGG
rnacentral:rRNA from 1 species